rnacentral:lncRNA from 1 species
ACCAAACCCGGUUCGGGUAGCAUGAGAUGAUAAGUGGACUUAUUUGCAUGGAAAGUUUAGGACUUGUUUGCCUCCAAACAUAUAGCUUGGGUAGUAAGUUGUGUCUUUGUACACUUGAGGUACCAAGUAGAUAUGUUACACAGCCAAGUCAUUGCUUCUAGAGACUACCCGUUCUUAUCAACUCACUUUCCCAUUUUCAUAUUCUCUUCUUACUUUCCCUCCCGUUUCCUUGCAAGUUUCAUGCACGUUAAGCACUAAGUCACCUCCAAGUAAGUAGAAUUCCUUGAAGUUAUAUGUUAUCCACUCUUUAAUUGAGUUAUAUUGGAGAUGAGUUAUGAGAAUUCUUGUGUAUAGGAGAAGAAAGUUCAAAGGUAGCAGAAAAGAGAAGUUAAAACAGAGCCCCAGCUUUGUGGCAAGACAGGUUUGAUAUCUCUUGUUAUUUCCCAUGUUCUUUGCAUGAAAAAUUGUGUGGAGUGUUGCUCAUGAGAUCAUAUGUUGCUUAUUG